AGGCUAUGAUGAACGACAACAUUUCUCGAUACUGAUAAUAACCAAAGCAAAUAUUUUGCUCUUUGAUGACUGUGUUUGUGCGUGUCUGAGCCUC
rnacentral:snoRNA from 1 species